AAUUAGUUUUGCAUAUAGGCCCACACAUGUUUAUAGGUUAGUUCUCUUCCUCUGCUUACGAACGUCUCUGUCGUGACGUUUGAUUCAGAUUGCACCUUCUCUUUACACACGGCUAUGUAACGCCUGAGCUGAUAUUAAUUCACCACAAUGAAUACCACAUUUACUUGAUUUAAAACUCUUCCAACUAUCUUGGGCAUUCAAUCGUCUUCCCACCCCUCGAAGGCACCGAAGAAAGAAAAAGUUCCACUACUAUCCUAUAAACCCUGCAAAAUCCGGAGGUGGAACACAUAAGAAAUGGAGCAAGGGGAAGCUAAAUCAGAAAAGGUGAACAACAUGGUUCUAUUCGAUCAGGCAACUAACAACAAGCUUCGGUCUGAAGCUCCUAUGUUCAAGUUGGUAAAUCAGGCUGUAUCCUUUUCAACAUCACCUGAACCAUCAGCUGUCGCAAUUAGAGGACCCUUCAAACCAAUUUCAUUGUUGCCAUUAAGAGCACGAGCUGCAUUUUCAAGAAACUCCUUUGCAUCUGAUUGAACAGAUUGUUUCUCAUUGGUUUGGUAUUUUCUCUCUUUUUUUUUUCUGUAACAGGUAACAGAUUGGUGUUUUCUCUUUUUUUUUCUGCAGUUAUAUAUAAAUACAUGAUUUUUGAUUUCUCAAAGCGAAGUAUUAGGUUUCUUCAUACUCUCACCUUCGACCUCCGUAGAUUACAGUCGAGUGUUCCAUGAAACUAGAGUGCCGAUCAACUCCCGUAACGUCUCCAGACAAACCAUGUCGUUUCACCUGUUAUAUGUCCAAGCACGUGUUCCUGCUCUUCCAUUGAAAGAUGAGGGGUUUGUUUAUCUGAUACUGAUCCUAACGCCAUGUGCUUUAAUGGUUGGCCUGAAUCACGUAGAUUCCUGUCAUUGCUUAGGAAUCAAAGGCUUCCAAGCUCCAGAGACGAGAUUAUGAGGCAGUGACGAAUUAUGGGACGUCACUAAACUGCACAACCGAUAAUCUUCUUCCCUUGAGGAAUUGUAUGAUUCAAGGUUCCAGAAAACGGAGGAUAAGAAGCA